GUGCUUGCUUCAGCUGCACAUACACUAACACUGGAAGGAUGCAGAGAAGGUUAGCCUGGCCCCUGAGCAAGGAUGGCAUGCAACUUCAUGAAGAGUUCCAUAUUUUU